rnacentral:rRNA from 1 species
AGAUUAUAUAUCUUGUUAAUUUUAUAACUUAUAAUAGUUUGUAAAUGAAAAAUAAUUUUAAUAAUAAUAAUUAGUAGAUUUUAGUGAAAUUUGUAAAACUAUAAAGUAUAAGUACUGUGAAGGAAAGAAAAGUUAUAUUAAAAAAAAAAGAAAAAAUUAAAAUUUGUACCUUGUGUAUUAGGGAAAUUUUAUAUAGUUAAAAUAAUAAAUUUAAAUCUCGAAAUAAGAAUAGUUAAUUUUUAUAAAAGAGUUUUUAUAAGAUAAAAAUUUUUAAUUUAAAAUUAAAGAUGAAAUGUUAGGCGAGUUUUAUUAUAUCUAGUUUUUUAAAAGAAAAAUUUAAUUUAGGUUUUAUAUAAAUAAAUAAUAUAAAAAAAUAAAAUAGAAAGGUAAAGCUUUUUAUUAUAAUAAUAUGAAAUAGUAAAUUAUUAUAAGUGUAAUUAAUCUAAGCUUAAAAGUAGUUAUGUUUAUAAAGUGUUUUAACUAAAUUAUUAGCAAAUAUAUUUUACUUUUCUUUAAUAUUAAAAAUUUAUUUAAAACAAAAAAAAAUAAGGUAAAAUGAUUUUAUUAGUAGAAUGAUUAUUAUUAAAUAAUUUAAUAGAAUAAAUUUAAGAUUAAUAAGUAUAAAAGAAUGGGUAAUUUAAAGGAAUUUAGCAAAAAUUUUUCUUGCCUGUUUAUCAAAAACAUGUCUAUUUGGAGAUAUAGGAAGUCUAACCUGCUCACUGAUUAAAAAAAUUCAAGAGCCGCGGUAUUAUGACCGUGCAAAGGUAGCAUAAUCAUUAGGUUUUUAAAUGGAAUCUUGUAUGAAUGGUUGGACAAAGGAGGUUCUGUCUUUAUAUUAAAUUUGAAUUUUACUUUUGAGUGAAAAGGCUUAAAUAUUUCAAGGGGACGAUAAGACCCUAUAAAACUUUACAUUAUAAUUAUAUUUGAUUAAAUUUUAUAAUAAAAAUUUAAUGUUGUUAUUUGUUGUGUUGGGGAGACAAGAGUAGAAAUUAUAUUAGCUGCUUAACAAAUAAACAUUUAUUAAUGUGUAAUAAAUUUAUAGAUCCUAUUUAAAGAUUUAAAGAUUAAGUUACUUUAGGGAUAACAGUGUUAUUUUAUUUGAGAGUUCUUAUCGAAAAAAAAGUUUGCGACCUCGAUGUUGAAUUAAAAUAUCUUUAUAAUGUAGUUGUUAUAUUAGGAAGUCUGUUCGACCUUAANUUUUUUU